rnacentral:lncRNA from 1 species
CGCUCAGGCCUGCGCCGGCGCCAUCCCUCAUCUACGCAAAGCGUGCGACGCUCAGGCCUGUGCCUGCGUCAUCCCUCAUCUGCCUAAAGCCCUGCGCGCAGGCCUGUGCUUGCGCCAUCCCUCAUCUGCAUAAAGCGUAGGGCGCGCAGGCCAGUGUGUUGGAAAACAACGCUUUGAUGUUGUCUCCUGGAUUUUCACAGCCUCCCUCUCACAGGAGAACAGGGGUGGACCCCGGCCUCGAGCACAUCUGAGCUCUCUCUCUCCUGCCUGUGCUCCUGUUGAAGACAUUCAGCCUCCGACUGCCCUCGGGAGGAUGGAGAUGCCCAGGUGCCGAGGCCAGAGCCCAUGCGCAAAGCGAGGGCUGAGACCACGGAGGCCCCUUGUCUCCUCCAGCGGGUUCCUGAAGCCACGUCCCUGCUUGUGGAGGAAGAAAGCCGAACUGCAGCUCAGGGAGAGGUGGGCUUGCUGGCCUCGCUGGCGGCAUCCGAAUGCCUGGAGCCUCAUGGUGGGUUCUGCUAUUGCUGCCAGCAGCUGGAUGUUUCGAAAUUCGCCCGCUUUGGAAUGAUACAGUGAGACCUUGGCGGCCGCGCUGCCUGAGACGAUGCUCUUACGUCUGCAGGGGAGGUUUCAAGGCCUGCUGGAGUCAGCGGCUGCCUUGCCGCCCUGGGAGGGGCUGUGGCAGGUGAAAAAGAAGGAGUCAGCUGUCAACCUGCAAGUCAACAGCGGCCUCUCCAUACAGGGGAUCUUCCAUUCCUGCCUUUGAGCUUGGGGGCCUGCACACGUCUGUGGCUGUGACCUUCACAAAUGAUCCUCAAGGUACUGCCCCCUGAGACAGGAAGGCUAAGAGGCUGCAGCCGAGUGAUUUUCCCUCCCCCCAGGUCAGAUGUGCUGGUGAAGGCCUUGCCCUUGCAGAGUGGGUCUGUAGGGAGAAAGCGCUAGCUGAAUCCACAGUCACCUUCCCUCCCCUCACCACACAGGAGGGGGUCCUUCUCCCGUCUUCACCAUAGGAACUUGGUGGUGCUCCUGGAAAGAGAACCCAUGAAACUGAGGCAGCCAGCAGACCAGACAUCUGGGAGCCCUCCGUCCGCAGCCAGCCCCAGCCUCUGUCAAUGCCUCCAUGGCCCCAUGUGGGGUCCCGAGCCAUUUCUGGCUGCAGCAGCUGCUCUUCCGGAAGCCAUCAUUCUCUGUAUCUGCCUGUUUCUCCGGUUUUGGGUCACCAGUUUGCCCUGUGACCACAACUCUCUGUUGUGAUCUAAGAAAAAUCACUGUUUUCUGUUUUUUGCCUUUUUAUGGUGAGGGAGAGAGAAACGACUUCCAAGCUCUUUCACAUGUUGGAAUGGAAACCAGAGGUCUCUAGAAUGGUCACACUGGGAAAGGUAUGGCAGGCUCUCAAAGUUCAAAAUCAGCAUUUACAGGAAUUCGCCCAGGAGAAUGAAAACAUGUCACCACAGAGACUUGCACACAAGUGUUCAUACCAGCUUUAUUUGAAAUAGCCAAAAACUGGAAACAAUCUAAAUGUCCAUCGGCAGGUAAACAGAUGAAUGUGGUUUAUCCACACGACAAAAUCCUACUCACAAUGAGAAGAAAUAGAUUGGGAUAUGCAAUAAAAUUAAUCUUUCAAAAUAAUUUUUCUAAGUGAAAGAAACCAAAAAAUACAUACUGUAUAACUGCAUUUAUACAAAAUUAUAGAAAAUGCAAAUUAAUCUCUAGUGACAGAAGGUAGACCAGUGCUUCCCCAAGGGUGGAGUGGGGGUGAGGAGGGGCAGUGCAGGGAACACGGAAGGGCCCGGGUGACUUCCUUGGGGGAUUGUGCAUGAUUUCGAUUGUGGGGAUGAUUUCAUGGUAAAUGCCUGUCAAAGGAAAUCACGUUUUAUACCUUAAAUAUGUCUGGUGUGUUGUCUGUUACACCAGAAUACCAGAACAAAGCUGUUUCAAAAGAGAGGAAAACUAAAAUUAGCUCCUUCAGACAGGGAGUGGUCAGAGAACAUAUACAAUUAAUUUUAUUACUGAAAAAGAAAGAAAAUAACGUUUAUCAGUAGAACAUUUUUGUAUUAUGGAGCUAGAAAACUCCAUAAUACUUCAGGAGCUAGAAAACUUUUGUAAUGCAUAUGCAUUAUAGAAAAUGAUUAUAUGUUUAGCCAAUAUUCUAGAACUUAUCCACCUAUGCAAUGAAAUGCUGUUUUCCCAAAACACAGACUGAAAAUAAAAAUUUUUAUUCCAAUAUGUGGCCAUUGCUCAAUAACCAUUUUUGGACUGUCUCCUGGAUUUGAAAUGAUUUUCAGUCCCAGUUUAUGAGCAACAUUAGAAAACUACUUUUAUUGUUUUAUGAUCACACCUGGCAAAUGAAAUCCUUAUUACAUUUCCUACUUUAAAGCUGGGAUUUCUAAAAUGUAUUUGAAAGCAGCCCAGUUUUGACACAGUGUAACACACUGCCUUUCAACAACUUCCUCAGUGACCAUUUUCUCAAGGACAUUAUCUUGGAGCAAAAUUGGCUUUGUGUUUCCUCCUAUGAAAUGUGCACACUGCCUGAAUAUCAGAUAGCUUAGAAUAAUAAAACUACAUGUUUAUAAAUGGAAAAAGUACUAAUAUGUGAAGUGAAUAAAAUAUGGCUCUUCAAUGAUGAGUUUAAAACUGAUGCUAUCAAAAAAUAUUGGUAUAAAUCCCCCAUCUUAUCAGCACUCACUUUAUCCAUCUUUGGAAUAACACACACUUUCUCUUUAGAAUUUCUUACUCUUUUAAUUAUAUAAUAUUAGGUACACUGAAGGAAUAGUAUAAAAAAUUCCUUCUAAUUGUAAAGUAUUAUAAAGUAUGAAUACUCAGAUUGCUUGAGCCCAGGAGUUCAAGACCAGCCUGGGCAACAUGGCGAAACCCUGACUCUACAAAAACAUACAAAAAUUACCCAGGUGUGGUGGCAUGCAUCUGUAGUCCCAGCUACUAGGGAGGCUGAUGUGGGAGGAUCGAUUGAGCCCAGGAGGUCGAGGCUGCAGUGAGCCAUGAUUGAGCCAGUGCGCUCCAGCCUGGGUGACACAGUGAGACACUGUCUCAAAAAAAAAAAGAAACAAAAAACAAAAAAACAUGUUCCCACCAUCCAAAUUGAGAACCAAACACUGCCAAUUCUGAGCUCUUCCCAAUCCUACCCUCUGCCCCCAAAAUAGGUGACCACGGAUUAGAUAGACGGACUGGCAGACGUGGUUUGGUUUUGCUUGUUUUUGUACUUUAUGAAAAUGGUUUCAUAUGUCUGUGGUCUUCAGUGCCUAUGUUUUCAUUCCACAUUAUGUUCCUAAGAUCAAGGAUUGAGUGUAGCGUGGUGUUCUCCGAUUUUACCGCUCUGUGCUAACUCUGUGUAGAUUUGCCAGUUUACCCCUGUGGAUGUUUGUGUUGUUUCUAGUUUGAUGCUAUCACCCUGCACAGUCUCCCAACACAUGUUCAAGUUCUUUAGAAGAGUGGUUCUCAAACUGGACAGCAGAAUCCCACGUGAGAGCAUGUUUAUUAUAAAAGGCAGGUCACCAUUCCCCAGAGAUUCUGAGUCAGUAGCUUCUAGAGACCCAGAGGUCUCCAUUUUAACAAACACUCAAGACGAUUCUAAUGCAAAUGCUCUAGACAUUACAGCAUAAUCAACCGUAUUCUAAACACACACCUAGUGUGCUGGGCACAGAGGUAUGCACACAGCCAGACUUCCAAGAUAAUGUUUCCAAAGUUGCUGUAUUACUUUAGGCCCCAACCAACAGGGUGCAAAGUUCCAAUAGUCUAUAUAUGCUCCACAGAUUUUCCCUCCAAUCUAAUGACUGUGAAAUGGCAUUUCAUUUUGGCCUUAAUUUUCAAGUUCUCAAUUUCUGUAUUUUGUUAUUGGCUACUCAUAUUUUCUCUUUUGUUACAUACCUAUUCAGGUCUGCUGUUCAAUUUCCAAUUCUCCUAUAGAUAUAUAAAAUCUUAUUUUGUUCACUAUCCUGGAUAGCAGUCCUUUGUGAAUUAUAUAUGUUGCAACUACCACUUGUGGUUUAUCAUUUCACCCUAACGGUGUCUUAUAAUGAACAGAAUCUUUUAAUUUUAAUGUAGCUGAAUUCAUCCAUCUUUUCUAGUAUGCUUAAUGCAUUUUUAAAGAACUUUAAUAAAUCUAAAGUUAUAAAAACAAUUUUAAUUUUGAUGUUUCUCCUUUAAAAUUUAACAGUUAAUGCUGGAAUUCAUUUUUGUUUGGUGUGAGGUAUGGAUCCAAAUAGAUUACUUCAUUUCAUGUGGAAAACAAACAGUACUAGAACCAUUAACUAAAUAGGUCACUGUAUUAGUCAGGGUUCUCCAGAGAAACAGAACCAAUAGGAUGUAUAUAGAUACACA